UUUGCCACAGCCGACAAGGGUUUGCUGCCCGACGUUUAUGUUCAUCUUAUGCUAAGGGUGGCAUAAAUGACGGGUGUAAUCAUGGAAGAUAUAUAUUGGGACAAUUUUCUCGCAUCAGAUGAAGCUAUAUAAGUUUAGAGGAGAGCCACUACGUGUGUCUCCCUCUCUCUCACACCGAGCCCCCUCCUCCUCCGCUGGCAAUUUAUAAAGAACAAAAAAUUCGACUAGGGAGGGGGUUGAUACGCCGAAACUGAAAUCGAGAGGCGAGCCCAGGAAAGGAGUAUAUUGUACACGCGACUUUCCCCCCCUUCGUCCCCCAAAAGGAGGGGGAAAAGUCAGAAUUGUGGAAUCGAAAAGGAAAAUAAGGUUCAAAAGACGUGAAAACGUCUUCCGUUGUGGAUACCGUAUAUCUUUUUAAUUCGAAAAAAUAUGGCCGAGAACGUUCUGGACUCUGGCCCGCCUUCAGCCAAGAGGCCUAAACUAUCCUCUCCGGCACUGUCUGUCUCAGCCAGCGAUGGAAACGAUUUCGGCUCGUUGUUUGACCUGGAGCAUGACCUCCCGGACGAGCUUAUCAACUCCUCAGAGUUGGGCCUGGUCAACGGCGGGGACCUCAGCCAACUGCACACCAGCCUGGGAGGUGGGAUUGGCCCAGGGGGAGGGGGUGGCCAGGAUGCGGUGGCCAAGCACAAGCAGCUCUCCGAGCUCCUUCGAUCAGGCGCUCCACACGCCUCCACCCAGCAGGGCGCAGUGGGCAGCACAGGCGGGGCCAGCAUGGGCCACCUGGGAAACAUGAAGGUGUCCCCUGGGCCCCAGGGCAUGGGCCAGCAGCAACACCUCUCACCUCAGCAACAGGCCAGCAUAAUGCAGCAGCAGGUGGGGAUGGUGGGCAGCAUGAAUCGGGGAAUGAUGGGGGCCCAGAAGGGCAACGGACAGCAGCAGCAAUCCAUGAUGGGUGGGCAGGUGAUGAACGGAUCCCCCAGGGUGGGCUUCUUGAACCAGGGGAUUGGGGGGAACAGUAACCUGCUGGCUGAGACUCUGCAGCAGCAACAACAGCAGCAGGGGGCUGGUGGACAGGCUGGACUCAGAGUACAGCAACCUGGAGCAAUGAACAAGAUGGGUAUGAUGGGUAACCCGGGCUCCUAUGGAGGCCCCUAUGGAGGGCAGCAGGCAGGGCUGGGCCCUCCACUCCAGAACAAAGGCUCCAUGCCCAACAGCCUGGCCCAGUUCAGCAUGGACAAGAAGAGCCAGCCCAUGCAGGGCAUGUCUGCCAUGGCCUCCCAGCAGUCGGCUGCAGGUGUGGGCGGUGGAGCCGGAGGCACUGCAGGGAUGGUCCCCAACGCCCAGGGAGGCCUAGGGCCCGCCGUGUCUGUAGCCGCAGCUGCCGCAGCAGCCGGGGCGCCCCCUACGGCCGACCCUGAGAAGCGCAAGCUUAUCCAGCAGCAACUAGUGCUCCUGCUACACGCACACAAGUGCCAGCGGCGGGAGCAAGCCAACGGGGAGGUGCGCCAGUGCAACCUGCCACACUGCCGCACCAUGAAGAACGUCCUCAACCACAUGACCCACUGCCAGGCCGGCAAAUCUUGCCAAGUGGCUCACUGUGCUUCAUCCAGACAGAUCAUCUCUCACUGGAAGAACUGUACACGGCACGACUGUCCGGUCUGCCUGCCACUCAAGAACGCCGGGGACAAGAGGAACCAGCAGUCUCUGCUAGGGGGUGCUGGUGUAGGUCUGGGUAGUUCCCUGGGCUCAGUGCCCGGAGGCCAGCCCAGCACCCCAAACCUCAACCCCCCCAGCCAGAUCGACCCCAGCUCCAUCGAGAGGGCCUACGCCGCCUUGGGCCUCACUUACCAGGGCCUGCAGAGCCAGCCCAACCAGGCUUCUCUGCCCUCACAGGGCCUGCAGAGCCAACCGGGCAUGAGGCCGCUCAAUCCCAUGGGGGGUAACCCGAUGGGAGUGAAUGGAGGUGUGGGUGUUUCACCUCAGAACCAGCAGGCCAGCCUGCUACAGGACACCAUGCUACACCUCAACAUGAACUCCCAGGGUCUGAUGAGUGAUGCGGGUAACAUGGGAUGCAUGCCCACGGCGACCCCACCCUCUGCAGCGGGCAUGAGGAAGAGCUGGCAUGAGGACAUCACUCAGGACCUGAGGAACCACUUGGUGCACAAACUGGUACAAGCCAUCUUCCCGACCCCAGACCCUGCUGCUCUGAAGGACAGGCGGAUGGAGAACCUAGUGGCGUAUGCUAGGAAGGUGGAGGGGGACAUGUACGAGUCUGCCAACAGCAGGGCGGAGUACUACCACCUGUUGGCUGAGAAGAUCUAUAAGAUCCAGAAGGAGUUGGAGGAGAAGAGGCGGACGCGGCUCCAAAAGCAGGAUGGUCCCCUCCCUGACCACUCUCUGGUGCGGCCCAGUGGACCCAACCAGAUGGUUAAUAGGAUGCAGAACCCUGCAGGUAUGAACCAGUUCAACCAAAUGGGGAUGCAGUCUAUGGGUCAGAGGUUGACCCCUCCUCUACCCCUCACACCCAUCAACCAGAUGGGCAUGGGGAACCCCAGGAUGAGCCAGCCCAACGUGGGCCAGAACCAGUACCUGCCUCAAGGACAAUUCCCAGGCUCCGGUCCAGGCCUCGGCACUAGUCAGCCUGGCAUGAACCAGCAAGGCAACCAGGCAGGCAUGGCACAGCCUAGUGUGAACCAGCAAGGCAACCAGGCAGGCAUGGCACAGCCUAGUAUGAACCAGCAAGGCAACCAGGCAGGCAUGGCACAGCCUAGUAUGAACCAGGGAGGCAACCAGGGAGGCAUGGUACAGGUGAGAGAGACUCAGAUACCCAUUCCUUCCCCUCUCCCCGUCAACAGCCCUCUAGCCGGGCCUGGCUCGGUCGGUGGUGGUAGUGGCGUCCCCUCGGUGGGGCCCAUGGGUCCCCAGAGUGUGGGUGGAGGCCCCUUGUCCAACCUGCCCCUGUCCAACAACCCCCAGCAGCCCAACUCCAUCCCACACCUCACGGCCAUGCGCCAGAGCUCGCCCUCCCCCGCCCGCAGUCUUACCCCCACACCCCACCAAACGCCACCCAGGCUAGCGGGCUCACAGACCCCCCAGCCCCACACCCCCAACCCGUCUCAGCUGGCCCCCCCAGGCCCUCAGCAGCAGCUAGGGCCCGGCAGCCAGGGGCCAGGCUCCAACAAGCCCAUGCAGCAGGGGAUGGGGGCGGGGUCCACCACCCCAUCGCACCCUGGUCACCCCUCCACAACCCCCAACUCACAUGGAGGCCAGCUCCCUCGCACGCCUCGCACUCCGAUGUCCCAGAAGGGGGGCUUCCAGCCCCAGGACAGUCAGGCUCUGACCCCAGCGUCGGUCAGUAGUGUGGACACAGCCUCCCAGCAGGCCUCCCAUUCAGAUGCCUCGGCCUCCGUGGACCCCAAGACUGAGGUCAAGCAGCAGCAGGAUGAGGAGGACGAAGGGGAGGAAGGCUGCUCCAAGGGGGGGAAGUUAUCCAACGUCAAGAUGGAGAACAAACCCAUCAAAAUGGAGGGGGUGAAGAAAGAGGAGUGUGGGGGCAAAGGUCUUCCCAUGGAAACGUCAUCAUUGGUGGGGGUAAAGAGUGAAGACAGGGUGAAGACUGAAGACCGGAAGCCGGAGGUGAAGAAGGAGCCAAAAGAGGAAGAGAAGGGAUCCGAUUCCCCUGGUACACCGUCUGGUGCCCAGAACAAGAGGAAGAUCUUUAAGCCAGAGGAGCUGCGCCAGGCCCUCAUACCCACCCUGGAAUCUCUAUACAGACAGGACCCAGAGUCUCUGCCCUUCAGACAGCCUGUCGACCCUCACCUACUGGGCAUACCUGACUACUUUGACAUAGUGAAGACUCCCAUGGACCUGUCCACUAUAAAGCGGAAGCUUGACACGGGUCAGUACCAGGAACCCUGGCAGUAUGUGGACGACAUCUGGGUCAUGUUAAACAAUGCCUGGCUAUACAACCGCAAGACGUCCCGCGUCUACAAGUACUGCUCCAAGCUGGCCGAGGUGUUCGAGGCUGAGAUAGACCCCGUCAUGGUCAACCUGGGCUACUGCUGUGGCCGGAAGUUGGAGUUUUCUCCCCAGACGUUGUGCUGCUAUGGGAAGCAGCUGUGCACUAUACCCCGGGACGCUGCCUACUUCAGCUACCAGAACAGUUCACCAAAAUUUGGGCUUCUUGCUGACAGGUACCACUUCUGUGAGAAGUGCUUCAACGAAAUCCAGGGGGACAACGUGUCCCUAGGAGACGACCCCUCCCAGCCUCCGACUUCCAUCGGUAAAGAUCAGUUUGAGAAGAAGAAGAAUGACACAUUGGACCCUGAAUUGCUUGUGGAAUGUAUGGACUGUGGACGUAAGAUGCACCAGAUCUGUGUCCUGCACAACGACACGAUCUGGCCGUUAGGUUUUAAUUGUGAUGGCUGCUUAAAGAAGUUGAAUAAGACGCGUAGAGAGAACAAGUAUGCCGCCAAAAGGUUGCCCCACACUAAGCUGGGCUGUUAUUUGGAGACGAGGGUGAAUGACUUCCUGAAACGUCAGAGCCACCCUGAGUCGGGUGACGUCACCAUCCGAGUCGUCCACGUCUCUGACAAGGUGGUGGAGGUCAAACCAGGCAUGAAGUCCAGGUUUGUGGACACUGGGGAGAUGUGUGAGUCGUUCCCAUAUAGAACGAAAGCCCUGUUUGCCUUUGAGGACAUCGAUGGCGCUGACGUCUGCUUCUUCGGCAUGCAUGUACAGGAGUAUGGCUCGGACUGCCCUCCUCCCAAUCAGAGACGAGUGUACAUCUCGUACCUGGACAGUGUUCACUUCUUCCAGCCUCGUUCUUUGAGGACUGGUGUCUACCAUGAGAUUCUCAUUGGCUACCUGGAGUAUGUCAAGAAGCUGGGGUACACGACGGGUCACAUCUGGGCGUGCCCACCUAGUGAAGGGGACGACUACAUUUUCCACUGUCACCCUAUGGACCAGAAGAUCCCCAAGCCCAAGAGGUUACAGGAGUGGUAUAGGAAGAUGCUGGACAAGGCUGUGGCGGAGCGCAUAGUGCACGACUUCAAGGACAUCUUCAAGCAGGCCACGGAGGACCGUCUGACCAGUGCCAAGGAGCUGCCGUACUUUGAGGGGGACUUCUGGCCCAACGUGCUAGAGGAGAGCAUCAAGGAGCUGGAGCAGGAGGAGGAGGAGAGGAAGAGAGAGGAAAACAGUACUUCCAACGAGAGCGUAGAUGCCACAAAGGGCGACAGCAAGAACGCCAAGAAGAAGAACAGCAAGAAGACUUCUAAGAAUAAGAGCAGUAUGAGCCGAGCCAAUAAGAAGAAGCCAGGCUUGCCCAACGUGUCCAAUGACCUCUCUCAGAAACUCUACGCCAGCAUGGAGAAGCACAAAGAGGUAUUCUUUGUGAUCCGUCUGAUAGCAGCACCCAUGUCUAACACGCUGGGCCCCAUUACGGACCCCGACGGCCUGAUGGCCUGCGACCUGAUGGAUGGGCGCGACGCCUUCCUCACCCUGGCCCGGGACAAACACUUGGAGUUCAGCUCGCUGCGCAGGUCCAAGUGGAGCUCCAUGUGCAUGCUGGUGGAGCUCCACAACCAGAGCCAGGACCGCUUCGUCUACACCUGCAAUGAGUGCAAGGGCCAUGUGGAGACACGCUACCACUGCACCGUCUGCGAGGACUAUGACCUGUGCAUCACCUGCUACAAUACUAAGGGCCACAUCCACAAGAUGGAGAAGCUGGGUCUGGGCCUGGAUGACGAGAGCAACAACGCAGCCUCCUCGUCCAUUGCCAACCCUGGGGACUCGCGGCGCCUCAGCAUCCAGCGCUGCAUCCAGUCUCUGGUCCACGCCUGCCAGUGUCGCAAUGCCAACUGCAGCCUGCCGUCCUGCCAGAAGAUGAAGCGUGUGGUGCAGCACACCAAAGGUUGCAAGCGCAAGACCAACGGCGGCUGCCCCAUCUGCAAGCAGCUCAUCGCUCUCUGCUGCUACCAUGCCAAGCACUGCCAGGAGAACAAGUGUCCCGUACCGUUCUGUCUGAACAUCAAGCACAAGCUGAGGCAGCAGCAGCUCCAGCAUCGGCUACAGCAGGCCCAGAUGCUGCGGAGGAGGAUGGCCAGCAUGCAGAGGGUGGGUCAGCCACCUCCGGGACCGGGGGGAAACGGUGGACUACCAUCUCCGGGAAACAACGGCACCACAGGGCCCAGCACCCCCAUGUCUGUGGGCACGCAGCCCCCCACGCCUCAGACCCCCACCCAGGGGAACAUGCCCCAGCAGGGGAUGGGCCAGGGCCCCCCAGGGCAGCAGCAGGGCAGCAUGCCCCAGCAGCACCACAUGCAGCACCAGUUCCAGCAGCAGAUGCAGCUGCAGCAGCAGGGGGGAGGGGGAAUGAUUAACUCUCCUCAGCAGCAACAGAUGGUCCAACAACAGCUCCAACAGCAGCAACAGGGCCAGUCUCCAAAUGUCCAGCAGAUGCAGCACCCAGGAGGUCUGCCCCCCUACACCCCCAGACCUCCAGGAGCCUCGCCCCUCCACCAGUCCCUGGGUAAACCUGGUCUGGGCCCAGCCACCCCUCCACAGCAGCAGACCAACCCUAGCCAGGGUUCCAUGCCCCAGGGGCAGCAGGGGCCUCCUCCGGCAGCAGUGGAGAUAGCGUUGAAGAUUCAGCGUGUGGCAGAGACCCAGCGUCAGAUGGCCCAGGCCCAGAUCCUCCAGAGGCAGCAGGCAGCCCAGGGUGGAGGCAUGAUCCCCCCUCACCACCAGAACCCCCAGACCCAAAUGCAGAGCAUGGCCCACCCAGGAGCAGGCUUGGUAGGGCCCCAGGGUCUGGCAGGGAGGACCCUGAUGGAGCAGCAGGGGAUGGUGGUGGGGCCAGGAGGCAUGCAGCAGCAGUCCCAGAUCCCCCCUCAGGUUCAGCUCCAGCAACAGGCCCGACUUCAGAACCCCAACCAACAGCAGUGGGGAGGCCCUGGUGGGAUGACUCCCCAGCAGAGGCAAGGCAUGAUGGGACAGAUGGGUCACCUGACACUGCAGCAACAGCAGCAGCUUGCCCAGCAACAGCAGCAGCGGCAGCUUGCCCAGCAACAACAACAGCAGCAGCAACAACAGCAAGGUCAGCCCCAGCAACAACAGCAGGCAGGGCAAGGGGGGUUAAUGGGGUUGAUGGGAGUUCAAGGUGGCGUGGCUGGGGCGGCGGCGGCAAUGGUGGGGACAGGGAACCUCCCCCAGGCAGCUCUACAGGACCUCCUGCGUACCCUCCGCUCUCCCAGCUCCCCCGGCCAGCAGCAACAGGUCCUCAACAUCCUCCGCUCCAACCCCCUCCUCAUGGCUGCUUUCAUCAAGCAGCGAGCCGCCAGAUACCAGGGAGGUCCAGGGGUGCCUGGGGCACCGGGAGGAGGCCCCGGAGGGGGGCCUGGAGGUGUGCGGUUCCAGGGGGCCCCUGGUGGGGUAGGAGUUGGGCCUGGUGGUAACCAGGUUGUUAUGGAUGGUCAGCAGGUCAACGUAAAUCCUGGAGCGGCCCAGGCAGGUAUGAACAUGGGCCAGGGAGGAGGAAAUAUACCCACUAUGGCUCAGCUACAGCAGUUGCAGCAGCAGCAACUGCAGCUGCAACAACAACAGCAGCAGCAGCAACAGCAGCAGCAGCAGCAACAGCAGCAACAGCAGCAGCGCCCCCUCUUGCCUGGGAGUUUGCAGCAACAGCAGCAAAUGGCAGUGCAACAACCGCAGCAACAACAAGGCGGUAUGCCAGGCCAAGGCACCCCAAUGUCCAACAUGACUCCCCAGUUCAGAGAGAUUCUGAUGCGAAGGCACCUGCAGCAGCAGCAACAGCAGCAGCAGCAGCAACAGCAGCAGCAACAGCAGCAGCAGCAGCAGCAACAGCAGCAGCAGCAGCAGCAACAACAACAGAUGAGUAACAAUGGUCAGUUCCAGCAGCCCCCCCAACAGCAGGGUCAGGGCCAGCAGGGCUUCAUGCAGCAGGGCCAGCCUGGUCAACCUGGCCAGACCCAGUCUGGGGGAGGAGGGUCGCAGCAGGGGGGAGGGCAGGGACCCCAACCGGGUCCCGGGCAGGGCCAGCAAGGGCAGGGCUACCCUGGAACCAUGUCCCAGCAGGUAGCCACAGCCCUGCAACAGAGGCUGCAGCACCAGAUGCAGAUGCAGCAGAUGCAGCAACAGGAUGGUGGGGGUGCGGGGCCUGGGCAGCUCCAACAGGGGCAGCAGGGUCCCCAACAAGGCCAAGGUGGUCCCCCCCAGCCCCAGUCCUCCCAUGCCAUUCUCCAGCAGGCCCUCCACCAGAGACUCCUCCAGCAGCAGCACCUAGGAGGGGGCUCGCCUGCCCAGCACGGCAGUCCUAUGAGCCCCCAGCAGCAGAUGGCCCAGUCCCCACACCCCCACCUCCAGGGCCAGGCUCUGGGCGGUCAAUCUCUCAGUAACCAGGUGCGUUCUCCUCAGCCUUCCCCUCGGCCACAGUCCCAGCCACCCCACUCCAGCCCCUCGCCACGCAUGCAACCCCAGCCCUCCCCUCACCGCAUCUCCCCCCAGACCCAGACAGGCUCCCCACACCCAGGUCACCUCUCCCAGCACCACCCUGGCAUGGUGGCCUCUCAAACCCCACAACAAUUGUCACAACAACAACAGACUAACUCUGGGGACCCGGGUACAUUUGGUUCGGACCCAAGUGCUAUGAUGUCCCAGAUAAGUGGGAUGGGGGGUUUGCAUGGCCCAGGGCAAUCGGACAUGUUGGGUAAUAACAACCAGGACCUGGGGACGAACAUUAACCACAACAGUUUAGACAUUAUGUAACCUACUACUACAUCGGUCUCAGUGGUCUGAAGAACUGCCUUCAUGGGUCUUGCUGGGAUUGAAUGGAAGGGGGAUGGCAGUUUUAAAAGAAUGAUGGAUGGACUUACUGAGGAUGUUGCCUGUUGCCAGCUGAUUCGGAUAGAUUGAUGGCUGUGUACAUGCAUACCCUCAUGAAAUGAAACGCAGAGGAACGGGGAUAUGGGGAAUGUGUAGCGGGGUUUUCUAGCUAUAAACUCACCUCUUUAAAAAACAAGUUAUUUUGUCAACGAUGCUGCCCUUUCCCACCUCUCCUAGUCACAUCCCCCUUGUUGUCUUUUGCCCUGCACCAUUGGGUGUAAUCUAAUAUUACUGUACAAAGAACUGGACUUUAAUGAAAUGCUGUUUUUGUAAUAAAAUGAACAGCAUAAAGUUGGUGUACAGACUUUAACCUAGGAUGAGCAGAGAGACUCUAUUAUAGAUGUUCUCCUUUUGAUUUGAUUUCCUAGCAACUCUGGCUCCUCCCAAAUUGAAAGUAUUGAGGUUUCUGUAAGGUACAGUAUGGGGUGUAGGUCAUAGGAGCACCAAUGCGCCUUUGUAUUUUUGACAAACGGGUUAUUCUAACAAAUCACAUCUUGUUUGCUGUGAUCACCAACACAUUCACAUGCGCAACACAAUACCGGGGAGAAGGCUUAUUAGUGGGGUCAGACAAUGAAUUGGUCAUUAAAGAUUUCACAAGUUCACUUAUUUUUCUCUAUAGGUUGGGAUUUGGGGGGAGGGGAAAAAAGUGGCAAUAUCUUGAGACUUAUUUUAUAUAAAAAGACAGUCUUUUAUAUAGAUAUAUUAUUUAAUUUCUUUUAUAUAUAUAUAUAUGAAACUUGAAGCUACAGGAAUUAGAUUAAACUUUUUUUGUAUUAAAGAUGUGAUGCAAAAUGACACUGCGAUCAUUGAUACUGCGGGUUUGAGUAUAUCAUGCCAUUUUGAAGAGAUGUACAUGCAUAUAAAUGUAUACAUACUGAAUCACUGUAGAAACCAUGGCAACUGAACUUUUGUUUAGUUUGUGUUUCUUCCUAAAGAGACUGGAAAUAAGACUAUUUAAUAUUUGUUUAGUGUUCAAAUGGAAUCUUUGACCACUUCUCUACAUAUUUUGGUGCUUGUGCUAAAAGGAAGCAGAAAAGAACUGUUGCUCCAUUUCUUUAGUUUCAAAUUUAAGUUAUUUUGGUGGUCUGAUUUGUAUUUUUUUUUUUGCAAAUAAUUUAAUUGUACAAUAAAGUAUGUUUGUACCAUUGGAAAAAUACCUGUAAUG